rnacentral:rRNA from 1 species
CGGAGAGUUUGAUCCUGGCUCAGGACGAACGCUGGCGGCGUGCCUAAUACAUGCAAGUCGAACGAACUCUGGUAUUGAUUGGUGCUUGCAUCAUGAUUUACAUUUGAGUGAGUGGCGAACUGGUGAGUAACACGUGGGAAACCUGCCCAGAAGCGGGGGAUAACACCUGGAAACAGAUGCUAAUACCGCAUAACAACUUGGACCGCAUGGUCCGAGCUUGAAAGAUGGCUUCGGCUAUCACUUUUGGAUGGUCCCGCGGCGUAUUAGCUAGAUGGUGAGGUAACGGCUCACCAUGGCAAUGAUACGUAGCCGACCUGAGAGGGUAAUCGGCCACAUUGGGACUGAGACACGGCCCAAACUCCUACGGGAGGCAGCAGUAGGGAAUCUUCCACAAUGGACGAAAGUCUGAUGGAGCAACGCCGCGUGAGUGAAGAAGGGUUUCGGCUCGUAAAACUCUGUUGUUAAAGAAGAACAUAUCUGAGAGUAACUGUUCAGGUAUUGACGGUAUUUAACCAGAAAGCCACGGCUAACUACGUGCCAGCAGCCGCGGUAAUACGUAGGUGGCAAGCGUUGUCCGGAUUUAUUGGGCGUAAAGCGAGCGCAGGCGGUUUUUUAAGUCUGAUGUGAAAGCCUUCGGCUCAACCGAAGAAGUGCAUCGGAAACUGGGAAACUUGAGUGCAGAAGAGGACAGUGGAACUCCAUGUGUAGCGGUGAAAUGCGUAGAUAUAUGGAAGAACACCAGUGGCGAAGGCGGCUGUCUGGUCUGUAACUGACGCUGAGGCUCGAAAGUAUGGGUAGCAAACAGGAUUAGAUACCCUGGUAGUCCAUACCGUAAACGAUGAAUGCUAAGUGUUGGA